GACGAACGCUGGCGGCGUGCUUAACACAUGCAAGUCGAACGGAAAGGUCCUGCUUUUGUGGGGUGCUCGAGUGGCGAACGGGUGAGUAACACGUGAGUAACCUGCCCUUGACUUUGGGAUAACUUCAGGAAACUGGGGCUAAUACCGGAUAGGAGCUCCUGCUGCAUGGUGGGGGUUGGAAAGUUUCGGCGGUUGGGGAUGGACUCGCGGCUUAUCAGCUUGUUGGUGGGGUAGUGGCUUACCAAGGCUUUGACGGGUAGCCGGCCUGAGAGGGUGACCGGCCACAUUGGAACUGAGAUACGGCCCAGACUACUACGGGAAGCAGCAGUGGGGAAUUUUGCACUAAGGGCGGAAGCCUGAUGAAGCAACGCCGCGUGCGGGAUGACGGCCUUCGGGUUGUAAACCGCUUUCGCCUGUGACGAAGCGUGAGUGACGGUAAUGGGUAAAGAAGCACCGGCUAACUACGUG
rnacentral:rRNA from 1 species